CUGCGAAUGGCUCAUUAUAUAAGUUAUCGUUUAUUUGAUAGCACCUUACUACUUGGAUAACCGUGGUAAUUCUAGAGCUAAUACAUGCUGAAAACCCCGACUUCGGAAGGGGUGUAUUUAUUAGAUUAAAAACCAAUGCCCUCUGGGCUCUCUGGUGAUUCAUGAUAACUCUUCGAAUCGCACGGCCUUGCGCCGGCGAUGGUUCAUUCAAAUUUCUUCCCUAUCAGCUUUCGAUGUUUGGGUAGUGGCCAAACAUGGCUGCAACGGGUAACGGAGGGUUAGGGCUCGACCCCGGAGAAGGAGCCUGAGAAACGGCUACUACAUCCAAGGAAGGCAGCAGGCGCGCAAAUUACCCAAUCCCGACACGGGGAGGUAGUGACAAUAAAUACUGAUACAGGGCUCUUUUGGGUCUUGUAAUUGGAAUGAGUACAAUUUAAAUCCCUUAACGAGGAACAAUUGGAGGGCAAGUCUGGUGCCAGCAGCCGCGGUAAUUCCAGCUCCAAUAGCGUAUAUUAAAGUUGUUGUGGUUAAAAAGCUCGUAGUUGAACCUUGGGCCUGGCUGGCCGGUCCGCCUCACCGCGUGCACUGGUCCGGCCGGGCCUUUCCCUCCGCGGAACCCCAUGCCCUUCACUGGGCGUGGCGGGGAAACGGGACUUUUACUUUGAAAAAAUUAGAGUGCUCCAGGCAGGCCUAUGCUCGAAUACAUUAGCAUGGAAUAAUGAAAUAGGACGCGCGGUUCUAUUUUGUUGGUUUCUAGGACCGCCGUAAUGAUUAAUAGGGACAGUCGGGGGCAUCAGUAUUCAAUUGUCAGAGGUGAAAUUCUUGGAUCAAUUGAAGACUAACUACUGCGAAAGCAUUUGCCAAGGAUGUUUUCAUUAAUCAGGAACGAAAGUUAGGGGAUCGAAGACGAUCAGAUACCGUCGUAGUCUUAACCAUAAACUAUGCCGACUAGGGAUCGGACGAUGUUAUUACUUGACUCGUUCGGCACCUUACGAGAAAUCAAAGUGC
rnacentral:rRNA from 1 species